AUAUAAGUUCUCGAGUCUGUCUACUGUUUGAUUUGUUUGAUUAUAUUAAAUUUAAAUAUAACUAUAAGCUUUAAAAUAUAAAGUUAUUGAUGGAAAGCUAAAUUAACUUGGUAUUUAACCAGUGAAGCAGAUGAAUAAAAAUCUAACCAAAUUUUUAUUUUACAAGCCAUUAUUUUAAAGGACUGCUUUAACAAUUCCGUUCAAACAUGCUUGUAAAUAAAUGUUAUAUUUAUGAUUUAAUAUUAUUUCUUUACAGGAAACCGUUUACCUCAACCAGAGUUAUAUUUCAUAGAAUUAUGUUGACCAUGAUCCAAUUAUUGCCAUGGGUAUUAGAUAGAUGUUUGAUUUGCAAACUGGAUUUAAAUCAUAUUUUCUUUAAACAUAUUUAUUUGCUCUUUAUAUGCUUACAAAUAAUUCAUUAGAAAAAAUUAUAUACUUAUUUACUAAACCGUUUUAUUUCAAUCAAUUAUUUGAUUUUUUAUAUUUUUCAAGGAGUUUUUAUAGUUUAUUAUAUUGGGCUAUGUUUUUUUUUUGUAAGGUGAAAACUAUGUUCAAUUUACAAACUAUAUUUUAGUUUAUCAAAAUAUAUUUUUAUUGAUGUGUUUUGCCUCUGAUUCUUUCUUUUUCAGAUGUGCACUUGUGUCUUAAGCUUAUGCUUUGCAAAAGGUUCACCAUUGCCCUUAAGUUGCUGUGGGUUUUACGGUUUUACUUCCAACCUGGCAUAUAAAUGCACUUAGUAUCUGAAGUUAUUUGUCAAUAACCGGUGAUCAGACUAUUUCAAACAAAUACGUUUUUUAAGGGCUGAGAAGGUGAAAGCUAGAAGUCUGCAGACUGCAACGUGAAUCAAUUUUCAACACAUGGUUUCCUGAAUAUAUUUAGUUUUUGAUUGAAAUGAGAAUAAACUGAACAUAUAGAUAUGUUGAAAAUUAACUAUUUUAUAUUUUAAACAUUCGCUGAAUGUGAAGCAAUAAUCUAUAGAUGCAAAUAUACUUUAUAAUUGGUUUUAGUUUAAAAAAAAAUUAUUGUUACUUUUAUAUUCAUGUUGUAAUUGUAAAUUGCAAUCUUAAAAUGAUUUUUAUUAUAACUUCUGAUUAGUCUUUUUGUUCACCAAGCUUAAGCCUUGCCACGU
rnacentral:lncRNA from 1 species